rnacentral:rRNA from 1 species
GAUGAACGCUGGCUACAGGCUUACACAUGCAAGUCGAGGGGAAACGACGGGGAAGCUUGCUUCCCCGGGCGUCGACCGGCGCACGGGUGAGUAACGCGUAUCCAACCUGCCUCUGACUGAGGGAUAACCCGUCGAAAGUCGGCCUAAUACCUCAUGGUAUCGUCUGCAGGCAUCCAACGACGAUUAAAGAUUUCAUCGGUCAGGGAUGGGGAUGCGUCUGAUUAGCUUGUUGGCGGGGUAACGGCCCACCAAGGCUACGAUCAGUAGGGGUUCUGAGAGGAAGGUCCCCCAGAUUGGAACUGAGACACGGUCCAAACUGCUACGGGAGGCAGCAGUGAGUAAUAUUGGUCAAUGGGCGAGAGCCUGAACCAGCCAAGUAGCGGGCAGGAAGACGGCCCUAGGGGUUGUAAACUGCUUUUAUGCGGGGAUAAAGUGAGGGACGUGUCCCUCAUUGCAGGUACCGCAUGAAUAAGGACCGGCUAAUUCCGUG